AUUGAACGCUGGCGGCAUGCCUUACACAUGCAAGUCGAACGGUAACAGGUCUUCGGAUGCUGACGAGUGGCGAACGGGUGAGUAAUACAUCGGAACGUGCCUAGUAGUGGGGGAUAACUACUCGAAAGAGUGGCUAAUACCGCAUGAGAUCUACGGAUGAAAGCAGGGGAUCACAAGACCUUGUGCUACUAGAGCGGCCGAUGGCAGAUUAGGUAGUUGGUGGGAUAAAAGCUUACCAAGCCGACGAUCUGUAGCUGGUCUGAGAGGACGAUCAGCCAACAGGGGACUGAGACACGGCCCAGACUCCUACGGGAGGCAGCAGUGGGGAAUUUUGGACAAUGGGCGCAAGCCUGAUCCAGCAAUGCCGCGUGCAGGAUGAAGGCCUUCGGGUUGUAAACUGCUUUUGUACGGAACGAAAAGCCCCGGGUUAAUACCCUGGGGUCAUGACGGUACCGUAAGAACAAGCACCGGCUAACUACGUGCCAGCAGCCGCAGUAA
rnacentral:rRNA from 1 species